UGAUUUUUAAGUAUCUAUUACGGUAAGAAAAAAAAAAUCCUACCAAAAAUAAAUCAAAUCACCCCAAACACUUCUGCUGUGGUCUGAUUUACUGUUUGCACUGCCUGUUUCUGGUGCUGGCAGCAGGAAGAGCAGCAAUAACACAGUGGAGACAGUAGAUGGCUGUAGAAAAGUGUGUUGAGCGCUCCUGUGUGAGCGUAAUAAGAUUGGGAAAGGCCUUGACCUGACUGGAUGCAGCUUUUAUCUGAAGUACAUUUAAAGAGAUAAAGGAGAAGCAGGGUGCAGUACAUGUUCCUUUCUUUUCUGUAGGAGCUCUGCUUUGAGUUUAAAAAUUUCUCAAAUGCGGGAUUUGUGAACUGGGUCCUUCAGCAGGGAGAGGUAAUGGCUCCAGAGCCACCAGAGUCACUCUGAGGAUUUCCCCCCUCCCUCAAGGCGUCUUAGAAAUCCUCCUGUAAAAUUCCUACAGAGGGGGCGUCUGUAGAUCCCAUAAUAAUCAUCAGGAAGUGGUAGAUUCCCAUUUAUUUAUUUAUUAUUACUUUUUUUUUUUUUUUCUUUCCCUCUUCCCCCCCCCCUUCCUCUCCAGUGUAGUUGGCUGCCUUUAGUGCACGGACCUGCUCAUUAAAUAGAUACACCAAGAACUGUUACCUAAGCAAGCUUGACAGUAAAGAAAGGACAGACUGAGUUAGGAGAAAAAGGGAAGAAAAAAGACAGCCUGAAGCAAGUCACUUCACACGCAGAAAGAGCCACUGAACGAAUGCUGUUCUCAUAAACAAACUAAAAAAAAUACCUUGUAUAAGAAGAGAACUGUGAGGACUUGACAGGAAAAAGGCAAGAUUUUCUACCCACUGUUUUCAGUUUUCCUUCCAGACAUACUUGGUGAAGUAAGGAGACUUCUGUUUGCUGACAGAGCCCUUGAUUUCUUUCAAGAUGAUGAUGUAUUUGUGGCCUCUCACAUACCCACCUCUAGUCUCUCUUGCGUAUUUUUCUUACCCAUCUUUGUAUUGCCUAACCUGUUCCUAACCUAGAU
rnacentral:lncRNA from 1 species